AUUGAACGCUGGCGGCAUGCCUUACACAUGCAAGUCGAACGGCAGCACGGGGGCAACCCUGGUGUCGAGUGGCGAACGGGUGAGUAAUACACCUGAACAUGCCCGGUCUUGGGGGAUAACGUAGCGACAGUUACGCUAAUAUCCCAUACGAUCUGAGGAUGAAACCGGGGGACCUUCGGUCCUCGCGCGCUCUGCGGUCCCGAUGUCAGAUUAGCUAGUUGGUGGGGUAAAGGCCUACCAAGGCGACGAUCUGUAGCUGGUCUGAGAGGACGACCAGCCACACUGGGACUGAGACACGGCCCAGACUCCUACGGGAGGCAGCAGUGGGGAAUUUUGGACAAUGGGCGAAAGCCUGAUCCAGCAAUGCCGCGUGAGGGACGAAGGCCUUCGGGUUGUAAACUGCUUUUGUAUGGAAAGAAAAGGUUCGGGCUAAUACGUGGGGGUCAUGACGGUACCGAAAGAAUAAGCACCGGCUAACUACGUG
rnacentral:rRNA from 1 species